GAAUUCGAUUCGGUGUGACAAGGCCCGGGAACGUAUUCACCGCGGCGUGCUGAUCCGCGAUUACUAGCGAUUCCAACUUCAUGGAGUCGAGUUGCAGACUCCAAUCCGAACUGAGAGCGGCUUUUUGGGAUUAGCUCCCCCUCGCGGGUUUGCGACCCUUUGUACCGCCCAUUGUAGCACGUGUGUGGCCCUGGACAUAAGGGCCAUGAUGACUUGACGUCGUCCCCACCUUCCUCCGGCUUAACGCCGGCAGUCUCCCUAGAGUGCCCAACUGAAUGGUGGCAACUAAGGACGAGGGUUGCGCUCGUUGCGGGACUUAACCCAACACCUCGCGGCACGAGCUGACGACAGCCAUGCAGCACCUGAACCGGCAGUCCCCGAAGGGAAAGUCCUAUUUCUAGGACGGUCCGCCGUUGUCUAGCCCAGGUAAGGUUCUUCGCGUUAAUCACUA
rnacentral:rRNA from 1 species